UCGAGGAUAUUUAGCAAUGGGCGAAAGCCUGACUAUGCGACGCCGCGUGAGGGAUGAAGGUUCUCGGAUUGUAAACCUCUUUCGAUGGGGAAGAAACCUCUAUCUAACUAAUAGAGCUGACGGUACCCAGAGAAGAAGCCACGGCCAACUCCGUGCCAGCAGCCGCGGUAAUACGGAGGUGGCAAGCGUUACUCGGAUUUAUUGGGUGUAAAGGGCAGGUAGGUGGUUCUGUAAGUCAGGAGUGAAAUUCCUCGGCUCAACCGAGGAACUGCUUUUGAUACUGCGGAACUUGAGACUAGAAGAGGAAAGUGGAAUUCCCGGUGUAAGGGUGAAAUCUGUAGAUAUCGGGAGGAACACCAGUAGCGAAGGCGACUUUCUGGGCUAGUUCUGACACUGAGCU
rnacentral:rRNA from 1 species